AAACAUGACACAUUGAAUCAGCUAUAGCCAAAAUAGAGACCGUUGAGUACAAUGAUUCCUGUUGUGCGUUGCAUCAAACACAUGACGUGUACAUUGAAGGUAAUCAAAGCCUAAAUUAUUUACAGAAACAAUUUAUAUGAAGUCUUCACCGGGAAGAGAGACUUGCCUAGAGCAAAGAAUGGAGCGCGCAGACACACAUUAUGGCCGUCUUCUCUACUUCUCAUCACAAAUGCUCCCUCUAGUCAGUUCAAGUUAGAUGAAUGAAAGCUUCUCCCUACAAUGAGAUACCAAGUAUAAUUAACAGUCAGUAUAAUGAACACCAAUGGAAGCCAUGGCUGGGCUGCAGCCUCACCAUGGUCCUCCCCUAACAAGCUCAAUUCUUAUUCCCCUACAUCAUUGUAAUCAUGAGAAAUAAAUUGUAUACAGUAUGCAUGCCAUAAAUUGAAGGAGAGAAAUAAGACAUAUACAUCAAGAAGAAAUUUGAAUCGAGCAUUUCAUCGAACACAAGACUCAGAAAAUCUAAAGCAAGUAGCAUGAGGUGCGAGAGAGGCUGAGCGGCACACACAUGUACAGACCGUACAGACGCGAGAGGCACGCCCAUGAUGCUGACGAGCAACCGGAGGUCGUAGUGGGUGGGCUGCAUCAGCGCCGGCCGCCUUGCAGCCA
rnacentral:lncRNA from 1 species